rnacentral:rRNA from 1 species
GAUGAACGCUAGCGAUAGGCUUAACACAUGCAAGUCGAGGGGCAGCACAAGGUAGCUUGCUAUCUGGGUGGCGACCGGCGCACGGGUGCGUAACGCGUAUGCAACUUGCCCUAUACAGGAGGAUAACCCGUCGAAAGACGGACUAAUACUGCGUAUGCUCACAACUUGGCAUCAAGUGGUGAGGAAAGAAAUUCGGUAUAGGAUAGGCAUGCGUCCCAUUAGCUUGUUGGUGAGGUAACGGCUCACCAAGGCAACGAUGGGUAGGGGAACUGAGAGGUUUAUCUCCCACACUGGUACUGAGGCACGGACCAGACUCCUACGGGAGGCAGCAGUGAGGAAUAUUGGUCAAUGGGCGCGAGCCUGAACCAGCCAAGUCGCGUGAAGGAUGACUGUCUUAUGGAUUGUAAACUUCUUUUAUACGGGAAUAACAAGAGUCACGUGUGACUCCCUGCAUGUACCGUAUGAAUAAGCAUCGGCUAACUCCGUG